AAAAGUGUAACAUUUGAAUUAUAGGCAAGAAAAAUUAAUCCUGCAGGGAAGGGCAGAAGACAGAAAAUUCUAGUAAUCAUGGAAAAGAGCUGUACUUGAUCAGAGAGGCAAAAUAGGACUUUAAGUUUGGCUCUACUGUUGCUAACCUUCCCAAAAGGGUGAAAUCCAAGUAGGAGUGCUCCACGUUCCAGGCUUAUUCCAAACCAGGAGCAGAUUCAGGACAAAGGCAAGGCACCAAUAUACCCAGAAA
rnacentral:lncRNA from 1 species